AUACUCACGUGGCAACAGGGAGGGUACUUUGAUCAGGAUUUUUUAUUAUUAUUUAGGUUGAGGAUCAUGCAUUGCACUUUGGUUAUCUAUAUCUGCCAUUUCCACAAACUAGGGAAACUUGAUUGCAGAAUGUGUAGUACUGAGGGACUGCGUUUGCAUUUGUCUCCU
rnacentral:snRNA from 1 species